rnacentral:misc_RNA from 1 species
AACGCACAUUGCGCCCGCCAGUACUCUGGCGGGCAUGCCUGUCCGAGCGUCAUUUCAACCCCUCGAGCCCCCGGGCCCGGUGUUGGGGAACGACCAAAGCCCUCGGGCGGUCGUCCCUGAAAUUCAGUGGCGGUCACGUCGCGGACCCUCUGCGUAGUAGCAACACCUCGCAGUGGAGAGCGGCGCGCCCACGCCCCGAAACACUUCUUUCACAGGUUGACCUCGGAUCAGGUAGGAAUACCCGCUGAACUUAA